rnacentral:misc_RNA from 1 species
CCGGCCCCGCCCCCCUACCAGGGGACGUGGCGCCCGCCGGAGGAUACCUAACUCUAUUUUAACGACGUUUCUUCUGAGUGGCACAAGCAAAUAAUUAAAACUUUUAACAACGGAUCUCUUGGUUCUGGCAUCGAUGAAGAACGCAGCGAAAUGCGAUAAGUAAUGUGAAUUGCAGAAUUCAGUGAAUCAUCGAAUCUUUGAACGCACAUUGCGCCCGCCAGCAUUCUGGCGGGCAUGCCUGUUCGAGCGUCAUUUCAACCCUCAAGCUCUGCUUGGUGUUGGGGCCCUACGGUUGACGUAGGCCCUCAAAGGUAGUGGCGGACCCUCCCGGAGCCUCCUUUGCGUAGUAACUAACGUCUCGCAUCGGGAUCCGGAGGGACUCUUGCCGUAAAACCCCCCAAUUUUUCAAUGGUUGACCUCGGAUCAGGUAGGAAUACCCGCUGAACUUAAGCAUAUCAAAUAAGCGGCAGGAAUACUGGGGGCAAUCCCUUGUUACGACUUUUACUUC